UAGGGGUAGCCUCCCUCCUCUCUGCUCAGUGGGGGCAAAAGCAACUGCUGGUGCCUGAUUUCUAAUGUUCUCCACAGCACCUAGCUGUUUCAGAUUUUAAUCUACUUCUUUUAUGCCCUUCACAGGACCUAAUAGAAGCUCCAGACCCAUAGGAGGCACAUCAGAAAAAAUAAAAAAUAAAAAAUACUCAUUCAGUUGGAUUAUAAUGUCCCUGAAGCCUGUGGACCCAUGCAAGCCAACUGUGAGAAGGCUUAAGGAGAAUGAGACGGUUCCUUAGACUUCCAUAACAGAAAUGUUGGCAUUAGAGUUAUACUAAAGGCCAAAUAAUAAUUAUAGGCUCCACACCCAGCAUGGAGCCCAACA